GACAUUUGGUAGAGACUAUUGAAGCUACCUGGUCCCAGCAGACCCUAGAAAAUGGCCACAUUCACUGGUACUGGAACAAGGUCAUUAAAGGUGAAGCCUGGUACCAGAUGUGU
ensembl:rRNA 5S_rRNA 5S ribosomal RNA